UUAAUGUUGAAUACUUAAUCACUACAUCACAUGAAGCUUGAUUGUGGGGAAUAACUUGCCAAAAUAUAUUUAGUUUAUGCUUUUCUUUCCUGUCUCAAUCAUCUAAAAAUAUUCUUUGCAUACCUUCUGUUAAAAAUAAAAUUGUUUUCUCACAAAUAGUUUAUGGCAGUAGAGAAUUGUAUUUGCAUGCUGGGAUUUUUGCUGUUGUGAAUUCUCUGUUUUAAGAUAUGGAUAGGGGAGAACUACAGUAUGCUCUGGACAUUGGAUGUUUACUGGACACACCAUUAGAUGCGUCCCAAUUAGGAAGUCUUCUAUGCCUUAAAUUGGCUUGAUCAAGUGAUUUCUGAGUAUGGAAGACAUCAUCAAUUGUGGAAGAAUCAUCAAAACUUGUGUGAAUAAUGGUUUUAACAUAUAAAAGAACAACUAGAAGUAGAUUUUAAUUAUCUGUUAUUUGUUUGGCCUAUUGCAUUUAUAAAGCAUACUCUGGCUACAAUAUCAUCAAGCCACUUGAUAUCAAAUGGAGGCAGCAGUUCUUUUACUGAUCCCCACAGUGGUUCUAUUCCCACUACAGUGGAGAUGGUGGAGAAUGCAACUGGCGUUCCAGCAGCUGUAUUAUCUUCUUCUUCUGGGUUUCUACAUUCUUCCAGGGCAAUUACUUCGAGCAUGCAACAUUCAUUUACUACAGGGUUUGGUU